UGCAUAGGAAUCUGCCCGAUAGUGGGGGAUAACCUGGGGAAACCCAGGCUAAUACCGCAUACGUCCUACGGGAGAAAGGGGGCUCCGGCUCCCGCUAUUGGAUGAGCCUAUGUCGGAUUAGCUAGUUGGUGAGGUAAAGGCUCACCAAGGCGACGAUCCGUAGCUGGUCUGAGAGGAUGAUCAGCCACAUCGGGACUGAGACACGGCCCGAACUCCUACGGGAGGCAGCCGUGGGGAAUAUUGGACAAUGGGCGAAAGCCUGAUCCAGCCAUGCCGCGUGUGUGAAGAAGGCCCUCGGGUUGUAAAGCACUUUCAGCGAGGAAGAACGCCUAGUGGUUAAUACCCAUUAGGAAAGACAUCACUCGCAGAAGAAGCACCGGCUAACUCCGUG
rnacentral:rRNA from 1 species